CAGGUGUUUUAGGCAGACAAAGUAACACAGCUCCACAGAGUUAAACAAAUGUAACAUAAGAGAAUGCAACACAUCUUUGCAUCACUAAACAAAUAUUCCACAGAAGAAACAAAUGUAACAUCUUUAAUAGUCUACAACAAUGGCCUCUGCAAGGUAGUACAGUGCUCCAGCCACAAACCCUGACCAUGCACACAAACAUUUUUCUUUCCCCACUUGUGCUGGAGAUUGAAGCUGGAGCCUCACACGUGGCGACAGGCACUCUACCUCCAAGCUAUGUCUCCAGUGCUGUUGCUACAUGGGGUUUUGUUUUUGUUUUUGUUUUUUCAUCAGUCUCCUCUCUCGCUCUGAGCUUUUCAUCUCUGCAUUUGUGACACUUAAGCUAGCACCUCUGCUAUGGGAUGUAGACGUUCUCGUCACUGGGGACCCCUUGCUCAAUAAGCUUUUGUGAAGAACAAGGGGGAGGCAGUCUAUGUAAGUUUGUGCUGGUGUCUAGCACUUGGUAAACUGUAAAUGAAAGGCAACAACAAAAACAUCAAGUCCACAAGGAUUAAAUCUCUUCCGUGUUAAGAAAACACUAACAGCAUAGUCUGCUGGAAUUCCUACAAAGUUCUUUCUAACCCAAGGCUAAAAGCAAAUUCUUACCCCUGAAAAAGUAUCAUCUCAAGUGGAAUGAUUGCACCCGAGAGCCAAGAGGACAGCGAAGCUAACCUGGUGAGCUUUAGCUGGAGUGUUGUCUGGAGAUGCAGGUGACUUUCAGGGGUGUGCUGUUUAAACCACUGUGUGUCUCCAGGUAGCAGACUCACUCUAAGGCAGACAGCACAGUCUGCAGUGCCGUGGGGGAGGCCCCAUGUGGAAUUUACUAUCCAGCUAUAAGUUAAAGAUUAUAAGAGAAACUCUGAAUUUGUUUUCUUGUUUUGAAUUUCACAGACAUCAAUUUGAAUGAGCUGACACAAAAUGAUAGUAAUUUAUAAAGAUAAGAGGGUUCUGUUGUUAACUGUUUUUUGUUGUUGUUGUUGUUGUUGUUUGUUUUUUUUGUUUUUGUCUUGUGGAUCCAAGUCUAGGGAUGGCGCUACAGGAAGCCCUCCAGGUACACUGGCUUUGCCUCUGAGGCUCCCUGCUCCUCAGUUUCAUUGUUUCCUGGCUGUGCAGGGAGGUGGAUGGCCUGAAAAGAGGACAGUUUCCCAUAUCCACGUCAUUUUUUGUUUUUGCAACCCACUGAAUUUAGCCACUGGAAGACAAUGGGUGUGGAACUCUGCUGGAGUGUGGUGGACUUCGCAGUGGGUAUACAGCUGCAAAAAAAUGGCAGUCCCUUCCAUGGCUCCUAUCAACAGCCAACAGUUCCCCAGGGAGGGACUUUGGUGUGUUAUCGGUGUAAAUCAAAGCCCGAGGCCACUUUUUUAGAGAAGGCGCUGGGCUGGCUCACAGCGUGUUCUGCUCCCAUCUGCUCCCUCCGCUGCUGAAGAACAGACUGAAGAUAAUCAUCUAACCGACAAACACGGCGUGCAGACUGUGAUGGUCAUUAGCUAGGAAAGUGUUCCCUGAAUUUCACUUGCUUUCUCAUCCCUCCCGUGCUGGCCUUGGAACAAACAGGUCGGUGGUGUAGCAGCAAGAGGUCCCCUGCUGUCAGAAGGAAACAAGGACUAGGAAGACACUUUGGACCCCUUAAUUUCCAGGCCACUUGAUAGCGGCCACAGUUCAUUACCCAGGAAAAUUGCUUGAUCUCUGGGAAAGAGGGUGCUGGAGGUGAGGGAGAAUGAGUUUGCCACCAACACAGUUCACCUGGCAACUCAGUCAUUUGGAUCUAACUAGAGAGUGAUUGCAGCCAUGUUCUCGACGAGGCUGAAAGCUGCUUCCUGCAGUAAGUUGGUGGUCGUGUGUGUCCUGUGUCUAGAGUGUAGCGGGGUGAGGGAAGCAAAGGAAGACCCUCUCUCCUCUGCCACUCCCCUCUGCUCUUCGUUUCAUAUCAAUGGAUCCUGUCUUUAAUUCUGUUGCAAUUGAUAAACAGUCACACCCAGAAUAAGAUUCCAAAGCACAAUGUAUAACUACUCAGAUAAAAAUAGGAACGAGACACUUUAUUGAGUAAGGGCUAUACAUUUGUUUCCAUACAUGUUCUCAUGCUAUACAAAACUUUAGGACUGUGGUGUAGCUCAGUGGUGGGGGACUUACUUAGCAUGCAGAAGACCCUAGGCUCAAUCCCAUAGCACCACCAAAAGUUUUUGAAUGAGUACUCUUACUUAACUCUUGUUUUGUUGAACAAUGUCAGAAAUACAAUACAUACCCCCUGCUAUGAGGAUUUCCUUGUGGGGAUGAUCCUAUAAUCCCUCUCCUUUUACCUCUCUUGAUCUUCCCUAGAUUCUGGUCUCUCGUCAUUCAGCCCAAGUUUUGGACAUCUGUUUCACAGACUAUUGUUUGAUAUCUAUCUGUCAGACAUUAUAAAUACUAACUAUGUAAUAACUCCUGUUGUAAUCAUGAGUGUGUCUGCCUAUAAUGAACAGAUGCAUCAUAACUACCCUACUAUGGUGGGUAUAAGAAGAGGAACCUGAUUUGAGAGUGCUACAGAAGCUGAUCAGUGUCUGAAAACACAGAAUAACCCAACAUCACACAAGAAGUGCAGAAGCUUUGAAGGGUCCUUUCUAGAUGAGUUGCCCAUCACACAUGACUUCCCAUCACAUCUCAGCACCAUGCACAUUGCAUAAUAUGUUACAUCCCAGAGUUUUAUGAACCAAGGGAAAAAAAGAUUGUUUUUUUUUUCUUUUAUGGACAAAAUCAGCAUCUUUAACAUGACCAGAUAAAGCAAAAACAACAAAAAAAAUGGCAGCCCACUGUUGAUAGUAUACUAUCCUAAACAAUUCAAUUCUCCAUUUGAAUGUAGUAGCCUGGCAUGGAAAGGAGUCUCUGUUACUCAUAAAUGUUAGUAUUCAUGACAGAAUAUCUUUGGAAUUGUGGAGAUGCAAAGUAUCGCAAAUACGUGUUUCAGAGUGGGUGCCUCUACUAUAGAGAACCCAGAGCUGGGAGAGAAGUCCAUAUUCCUGGUAAUGAAGUCUGUUAUAAAACAUUCUCCUGAAACAUGACAAAUGCUGUUAGCCAGGGGUGGGAGUGCAGGCCUGUAAUUCAAGCAUGUAUGAAAGCUGAGGCAGGAGGAUAACCCUGUCUUUAAAAAAAAAAAGUCCUUACAUUGUAUAUGAAGCCAAGAGGUAAUAAUUACAGUGAUUCUUUUUGUAUCAAAAUCAACAACCAACUCCAUCACAUAAUUACUUAGUAGAAUGUUCAAGCAGUUACUCCCUCAAGGUGCACAUUGAAUUGAAUACAAGAGAUAAGAACUGGCAGAAGGAGGGAUUAAGGAAGGAAACAUUUGAGAUAUCAUGAGAUGAGGGUGUCAUGGAAAGGAAUUUAAGUCCUAGAGCAAACUUCCUCAAAAAGAUGUAUCACAGAAUGAUCACUAGUCAAAAGGCUACAGAGCAGGAAAAACCUCAGAAGCCUACCCAAAGGUGAUUUAUGGUAAAUGUUUAGAUUUUAAGAUCAUUGUAUCUGAAAAUCAAGGCUGGUUUCUGUGAAAAUAAAAAGAAUUUUUACACACAUGUACAAGCACACAUAGGAUCAAGAGUGUUAAAAACAUUAAUAUCUGAGAAAAUGGUAAUUAUGAUAAACAUGUAAUGAUCAGUGACUAUGGAAUAUGUGGGCCAUUUAUUGGGAAAAUGUACAUAUAGACAAAAAUUAAUGCAGUUUUCCCCCAGAAAGGUGCAUCAGUGGAGAACAGCUUUUAAAAAUGAACCCAAUGGGGCUAGGAGAUGGAUCCAGGUUAAGAGCACUGGUUGCUUUUCCAGAGGACCUAGGCCUGAUCAUUGUGGCUCACAACUGACCGUAGCUCCAGUUCCAGGAGAUCUGACACCCACUUCUGGCCCCUGGGGCACCAGGCAUGCACGUGGUGCACAGCCAUUCAUGCAGGCAAAACACCCAUGCACAUAAAAUAAUGCGGUAAUUUAAACAAUAAAAGUUAACAAAGUGCUGGGAAAAUUAGACAUUUCAUCUGCAGGAGUGUGAAAUUAGAUAUUCAUCUCACAAAUAAUAAAUCAAAAUAAAAGAUCUAUCCACAUGACCCUGAAGUAUAAAACCAUUAGAAGGAUAGAGGAAACACUCCUGGACAGAGUUGGAAAAAUGGGUGUUUUCAUGGGACUCC